GCUCUUCCCAUCUCCUGUGAAGGUCUUUGCUCCCAGAGUUGGUGGGAAACGCUAAUUUGGUAGAUUAGAGUUUGAAAUAAAGAUCUGUC